rnacentral:rRNA from 1 species
UACGUAGGGUGCGAGCGUUAAUCGGAAUUACUGGGCGUAAAGCGUGCGCAGGCGGUUCUCCAAGUCCGUUGUGAAAGCCCCGGGCUCAACCUGGGAAUGGCAGUGGAAACUAGGGGACUGGAAUCUGGCAGAGGGGGGUGGAAUGCCGCGUGUAGCAGUGAAAUGCGUAGAGAUGUGGAGGAACACCGAUGGCGAAGGCAGCCCCCUGGGUCAAGACUGACGCUCGUGCACGAAAGCGUGGGGAGCAAACAGG